rnacentral:rRNA from 1 species
ACGGAAAGACCCCGUGAACCUUUACUAUAGCUUGACACUGAACAUUGAGCCUUGAUGUGUAGGAUAGGUGGGAGGCUUAGAAGUGUGGACGCCAGUCUGCAUGGAGCCGACCUUGAAAUACCACCCUUUAAUGUUUGAUGUUCUAACGUUGACCCGUAAUCCGGGUUGCGGACAGUGUCUGGUGGGUAGUUUGACUGGGGCGGUCUCCUCCUAAAGAGUAACGGAGGAGCACGAAGGUUG